AGGCCUGAAGGCUGUUAAACCCAAAAAUCCGACUUGCAAUCAGAUACUAUACCAGACC
rnacentral:tRNA from 1 species